rnacentral:rRNA from 1 species
CCCUUAGAUGUCCUGGGCCGCACGCGCGUUACACUGAUGCAUUCAACGAGCUUAUAACCUUGGCCGAGAGGCCUGGGCAAUCUUGUUAACGUGCAUCGUGAUAGGGAUAGAUUAUUGAAAUUAUUAAUCUUGAACGAGGAAUUCCUAGUAAACGCAGAUCAUCAAUCUGCAUUGAUUACGUCCCUGCCCUUUGUACACACCGCCCGUCGCACCUACCGAUUGGAUGGUCCGGUGAGGACUCAGGAUGCCUUUUGUCUCGGUUCGCCGUACAAAAGUGUCAGAAUUUGUUCAAACCUUAUCAUUUAAAGGAAGGAGAAGUCGUAACA